UACGUAGGGGGCAAGCGUUGUCCGGAUUUAUUGGGCGUAAAGAGCGUGUAGGCGGCCAUACAGGUCCGUUGUGAAAACUGGAGGCUUAACCUCCAGACGUCGAUGGAAACCGUAUGGCUAGAGUCCGGAAGAGGAGAGUGGAAUUCCUGGUGUAGCGGUGGAAAUGCGCAGAUAUCAGGAAGAACACCCGUGGCGAAGGCGGCUCUCGUGGGACGGUACUGACGCUGAGACGCGAAAGCGUGGGGAGCGAACAGG
rnacentral:rRNA from 1 species